UACGUAGGGUGCAAGCGUUGUCCGGAAUCAUUGGGCGUAAAGCGCGCGUAGGUGGUCAUGUAAGUCCGCUGUGAAAGUCAAAGGCUCAACCUUUGAAAGCCGGUGGAUACUGCAUGACUAGAGUACGGAAGAGGCGAGUGGAAUUCCUGGUGUAGCGGUGGAAUGCGCAGAUAUCAGGAGGAGCACCAAUAGCGAAGGCAGCUCGCUGGGACGUUACUGACACUGAGGCGCGAAAGCGUGGGGAGCGAACAGG
rnacentral:rRNA from 1 species